rnacentral:rRNA from 1 species
UAGGGAAUUUUCCACAAUGGGGGCAACCCUGAUGGAGCAACGCCGCGUGCAGGAUGAAUGCCUUCGGGUUGUAAACUGCUUUUAUCUGUGACGAAUAUGACGGUAGCAGAUGAAUAAGGAUCGGCUAACUCCGUGCCAGCAGCCGCGGUCAUACGGAGGAUCCGAGCGUUAUCCGGAAUUACUGGGCGUAAAGAGUUGCGUAGGUGGCACUGUGUGUCGGUAGUGAAAGCGUGUGGCUCAACCAUAUAUACAUUAUCGAAACUGCAGAGCUAGAGGACGAGAGAGGUUAUUGGAAUUCCCAGUGUAGGAGUGAAAUCCGUAGAUAUUGGGAGGAACACCGAUGGCGUAGGCAGAUAACUGGCUCGUUCCUGACACUAAGGCACGAAAGCGUGGGGAGCAAACGGGAUUAGAUACCCCCGUAGUCC